GAAUUCGCCCUUAGAGUUUGAUCCUGGCUCAGGACGAACGCUGGCGGCACGCCUAACACAUGCAAGUCGAACGGUGAAGAGGAGCUUGCUCCUCGGAUCAGUGGCGGACGGGUGAGUAACACGUGAGCAACCUGCCUUUCAGUGGGGGACAACAGUUGGAAACGACUGCUAAUACCGCAUAAUGUCAUUUUAGGGCAUCCUUUAAUGACCAAAGAUUUAUUGCUGAAAGAUGGGCUCGCGUCUGAUUAGAUAGUUGGUGAGGUAACGGCUCACCAAGUCGACGAUCAGUAGCCGGACUGAGAGGUUGAACGGCCACAUUGGGACUGAGACACGGCCCAGACUCCUACGGGAGGCAGCAGUGGGGGAUAUUGGACAAUGGGGGAAACCCUGAUCCAGCGAUGCCGCGUGAGGGAAGAAGGUUUUCGGAUUGUAAACCUCUGUGGACAGGGACGAUAAUGACGGUACCUGUUUAGAAAGCCACGGCUAACUACGUGCCAGCAGCCGCGGUAAUACGUAGGUGGCGAGCGUUGUCCGGAAUUACUGGGUGUAAAGGGAGUGUAGGCGGGAUUGCAAGUCAGAAGUGAAAAUUAUGGGCUCAACCUAUAACCUGCUUUUGAAACUGUAAUUCUUGAGUGAAGUAGAGGCAAGCGGAAUUCCUAGUGUAGCGGUGAAAUGCGUAGAUAUUAGGAGGAACACCAGUGGCGAAGGCGGCUUGCUGGGCUUUUACUGACGCUGAGGCUCGAAAGCGUGGGGAGCAAACAGGAUUAGAUACCCUGGUAGUCCACGCCGUAAACGAUGAUUACUAGGUGUGGGGGGCUAACCCUUCCGUGCCGGAGUUAACACAAUAAGUAAUCCACCUGGGGAGUACGACCGCAAGGUUGAAACUCAAAGGAAUUGACGGGGGCCCGCACAAGCGGCGGAGCAUGCGGAUUAAUUCGAUGCAACGCGAAGAACCUUACCAAGGCUUGACAUGAACCGGAAAGGCCUGGAAACAGGUCCCCCACUUGUGGCCGGUUUACAGGUGGUGCAUGGUUGUCGUCAGCUCGUGUCGUGAGAUGUUGGGUUAAGUCCCGCAACGAGCGCAACCCUCGUUCUAUGUUGCCAGCGGGUUAUGCCGGGGACUCAUAGGAGACUGCCGGGGUCAACUCGGAGGAAGGUGGGGACGACGUCAAAUCAUCAUGCCCCUUAUGUCUUGGGCUUCACGCAUGCUUCAAUGGCCGGUACAAAGGGUUGCGAUACUGUGAGGUGGAGCAAAUCCCUAAAAGCCAUCUCAGCUCGGAUUGCAGGCUGCAACUCGCCUGCAUGAAGCUGGAAUUGCUAGUAAUCGCGGAUCAGCAUGCCGCGGUGAAUACGUUCCCGGGCCUUGUACACACCGCCCGUCA
rnacentral:rRNA from 1 species